UACGUAGGGUGCGAGCGUUAAUCGGAAUUACUGGGCGUAAAGCGUGCGCAGGCGGUUCGUUAUGUCCGAUGUGAAAGCCCCGAGCUUAACUUGGGAAUGGCAUUGGAAACUGGCGGGCUGGAGUGCGGCAGAGGGGGGUGGAAUUCCACGUGUAGCAGUGAAAUGCGUAGAGAUGUGGAGGAACACCAGUGGCGAAGGCGGCGAUCUGGGAAGAUACUGACGCUGAGGUGCGAAAGCGUGGGGAGCAAACAGG
rnacentral:rRNA from 1 species